UACGUAGGGUCCGAGCGUUGUCCGGAGUUACUGGGCGUAAAGGGCGCGCAGGUGGCGGUGUUGGCCCGGCGUGAAAGCCCCCGGCUCAACCGGGGAGGGUCGUCGGGGACCGCACCGCUUGAGGGCGGUAGGGGCUGGUGGAAUGCCUGGUGUAGUGGCGAAAUGCGUAGAGAUCAGGCGGAACACCCGUAGCGAAGGCGGCCAGCUGGGCCGUCCCUGACACUGAGGCGCGAAGGCGUGGGGAGCGAACGGG
rnacentral:rRNA from 1 species